rnacentral:misc_RNA from 1 species
UACACUGUGCUUAUAGAAAUAGUAGCUUGGAUUAGAGAAUUUCUCGUAUCAUGCUGAAAGAGGAAUCGAAGAAGCGAAUUGGGUCUAUGCGUACGUUAAUUUUCAUUAAAUAUUAAUAAAUAAAGUGGUAGAUGUUAUGUCUACAAUUUAGGUGGUACCACGGCAAAGUCGUCCUAUUC